rnacentral:rRNA from 1 species
CGGGAGUAACGCGUGAGCAAUCUGCCUUUAAGAGGGGGAUAACAGUCGGAAACGGCUGCUAAUACCGCAUAAAGCAUUAAAUUCGCAUGUUUUUGAUGCCAAAGGAGCAAUCCGCUUUUAGAUGAGCUCGCGUCUGAUUAGCUGGUUGGCGGGGUAACGGCCCACCAAGGCGACGAUCAGUAGCCGGACUGAGAGGUUGAACGGCCACAUUGGGACUGAGACACGGCCCAG